rnacentral:rRNA from 1 species
AAUAGAUACCCCGGUAGUCCACGCCGUAAACGAUGGAUGCUAGCUGUUAUGCGUAUCGACCCGUGUAGUAGCGAAGCUAACGCGUUAAGCAUCCCGCCUGGGGAGUACGAACGCAAGUUUAAAACUCAAAGGAAUUGACGGGGACCCGCACAAGCGGUGGAGCGUGUUCUUUAAUUCGAGGCUAAGCGAAGAACCUUACCAGGGCUUGACAUCCUUGGAAUUUCUCCGAAAGGAGAGAGUACUUUAUUGGACCAAGUGACAGGUGCUGCAUGGCCGUCGUCAGCUCGUGUCGUGAGAUGUUUGGUUAAGUCCAUUAACGAGCGCAACCCUUAUGAAUAGUUGUAUUUUUCUAUUCAGACUGCCCCGGUAACGGGGAGGAAGGGGGGAUGAUGUCAGGUCAGUAUUGCCCUUACGCCCUGGGCUAGAAACGCGCUACAAUGGCCGGUACAAUGCGCUGCCAACCCGCGAGGGGGAGCAAAUCGCAUCAAAGCCGGUCCCAGUUCGGAUAAGAGGCUGAAACUCGCCUCUUUGAAGCCGGAAUCGCUAGUAAUCGU